rnacentral:rRNA from 1 species
AUUGAACGCUGGCGGCAUGCCUUACACAUGCAAGUCGAACGGUAACAGGUCUUCGGAUGCUGACGAGUGGCGAACGGGUGAGUAAUACAUCGGAACGUGCCUAGUAGUGGGGGAUAACUACUCGAAAGAGUGGCUAAUACCGCAUGAGAUCUACGGAUGAAAGCAGGGGAUCGCAAGACCUUGUGCUACUAGAGCGGCCGAUGGCAGAUUAGGUAGUUGGUGGGAUAAAAGCUUACCAAGCCGGCGAUCUGUAGCUGGUCUGAGAGGACGAUCAGCCACACUGGAACUGAGACACGGCCCAGACUCCUACGGGAGGCAGCAGUGGGGAAUUUUGGACAAUGGGCGCAAGCCUGAUCCAGCAAUGCCGCGUGCAGGAUGAAGGCCUUCGGGUUGUAAACUGCUUUUGUACGGAACGAAAAGCCCUGGGUUAAUACCCUGGGGUCAUGACGGUACCGUAAGAAUAAGCACCGGCUAACUACGUGCCAGCCGCCGCCGUAAAAC